GGAAACUGAGUGGCGAACGGGUGAGUAACACGUGGGUGACCUACCUUCGAGUGGGGGAUAACGUCCCGAAAGGGACGCUAAUACCGCAUAACAUCCUGUCCUUGAACGGAUGGAGAUCAAAGCCGGGGACCGCAAGACCUGGCGCUUGAUGAGGGGCCCGCGUCUGAUUAGCUAGUUGGUGAGGUAACGGCUCACCAAGGCGACGAUCAGUAGCCGGCCUGAGAGGGCGGACGGCCACACUGGGACUGAGACACGGCCCAGACUCCUACGGGAGGCAGCAGUGGGGAAUUGUUCACAAUGGGCGCAAGCCUGAUGACGCAACGCCGCGUGGAGGAUGAAGGUCUUCGGAUUGUAAACUCCUGUUGCUCGGGACGAAUAGCGUCAACCUAACACGUUGGCGUGUGACGGUACCGAGUGAGGAAGCCCCGGCUAACUCUGUGCCAGCAGCCGCGGUAAUACAGAGGGGGCAAGCGUUGUUCGGAAUUACUGGGCGUAAAGGGCGCGUAGGCGGCCUGUUAAGUCGAACGUGAAAUCCCCGGGCUCAACCCGGGAACUGCGUCCGAUACUGGCAGGCUUGAAUCCGGGAGAGGGAUGCGGAAUUCCAGGUGUAGCGGUGAAAUGCGUAGAUAUCUGGGAGGAACACCGGUGGCGAAGGCGGCAUCCUGGACCGGCAUUGACGCUGAGGCGCGAAAGCCAGGGGAGCAAACGGGAUUAGAUACCCCGGUAGUC
rnacentral:rRNA from 1 species